GGAAGAACCAGAUGCCUUGUGAUCUCUGAUUCUCAGGGUUGGAAGGCCAGGGUAGAGUGGCUGUACCAGUUUUAGAUGGUAGACAAUGAGUCAGCCGAUGGUCAGAUGACGGAGGAAUCCUGCUUGCUACCCCCUUGCUCAGUGACUGCUACCUCUCGAGUGCACUUCCUUCUUAUCAGAAACCAUCUCUCAAGACAAAGGAUGAAGUCUUGAAGAAAUCUGGGAAUAUGCUCCCAAAGGUUAAAGUAAACAAAAAUGCAGACAUCUCAGGAGAACUAGAAGCCAAG
rnacentral:lncRNA from 1 species